rnacentral:rRNA from 1 species
GACGAACGCUGGCGGCGUGCUUAACACAUGCAAGUCGAACCGAAAGGCCCUGCUUUUGUGGGGUGCUCGAGUGGCGAACGGGUGAGUAACACGUGAGUAACCUGCCCUUGACUUUGGGAUAACUUCAGGAAACUGGGGCUAAUACCGGAUAGGAGCUCCUGCUGCAUGGUGGGGGUUGGAAAGUUUCGGCGGUUGGGGAUGGACUCGCGGCUUAUCAGCUUGUUGGUGGGGUAGUGGCUUACCAAGGCUUUGACGGGUAGCCGGCCUGAGAGGGUGACCGGCCACAUUGGGACUGAGAUACGGACCAGACUCCUACGGGAGGCAGCAGUGGGGAAUAUUGCACAAUGGGCGGAAGCCUGAUGCAGCAACGCCGCGUGCGGGAUGACGGCCUUCGGGUUGUAAACCGCUUUCGCCUGUGACGAAGCGUGAGUGACGGUAAUGGGUAAAGAAGCACCGGCUAACUACGUG